CACGUAGGGUGCGAGCGUUGUCCGGAAUUAUUGGGCGUAAAGAGCUCGUAGGCGGUGUGUCGCGUCGGCCGUGAAAACCUGUGGCUUAACCAUGGGCUUGCGGUCGAUACGGGCAUCACUGGAGUUCGGCAGGGGAGACUGGAAUUCCUGGUGUAGCGGUGAAAUGCGCAGAUAUCAGGAGGAACACCGAUGGCGAAGGCAGGUCUCUGGGCCACUACUGACGCUGAGAAGCGAAAGCGUGGGGAGCGAACAGG
rnacentral:rRNA from 1 species